AUGUGCCCUUCUCAGUCCUUCAGCACUGGCUUACAGCGGGAGGUGGCAGCCAACUGUGGCUUAUCUCCAUCAGUUCUGCUGUUAUUCAAGAGAGUUCAAACAUGGCCGCCAGCUCAGGGCCGCGGACAGCCGAUGGAUGUCACGUGGUACAGGAAAAUAUCCUUCACGGCCUCAGACGACGUCAUCUGGAGCCGGAUCUGCUCUGUAUCAGCUGAGGGAGCCAAUCAGGUUGGAUCUUUGAAAGAAAUAUUUAUUGCGAACUCAAAUGUACAGUUGUAUGUUACAGAUCCUCAUUUUCUGGACUAUUCUGGUGAUGCUCUGGUGACCAACCUGCUCUGCUCUCCCACACACGUGUCCUGUCACUUGAACCCCAAUAAAUAAAUAAAGUGCUCCACAUACAGCUGGAUCCAACGCAGUUCAUGCACUAAUGAUUAUUACGUUACAUACUCAUAUCAGUGAAUUUACAGGUCAUUAGUGGCUUUCUAAGAGUCAAACAUCUAGCAAUCUAAUAAGGCAAAUCAUUUUAAAACAUAGGGAAUGGUCAUUUACAAAGGGGUAUUAUGGGUAGUCAAGGUAAAACAACAAUUCUGCAAAAAAAAAGCAAUCAAAAAUAAAUUUCCACGCAAAAUAAAGAAGAAUAACUGAUUUUUUUCCCCCUCUGCAGACUGGCAGGGAGGUGACCUUCCAUCUGUAACGCCAACAUUUGGCAUCGUAGUAACGCCUUACUAUCAGCAGAGGGGGCGUGCAGCGGCACGUGUGUUUGUGUGCGUGUAGGCGCUCGUGCGUGUUCAGGACCACUGGCAGGAACAGUCGGUGGGCUCCUGGAUGCUGUAGCUGACCCAGGUGGAGUUGCUGCUGCAGUACAGCUGCACGAAGCGCCGCUGCAGGCCGGUCUCUCGGCAGCACUUGCAAAAGCGAGCGUACGUGUUGAUGUUGUAGUUGUAGAUGCUGGCCGACGGACACUUCCCAUCACAUGACACGAUGUUCACCUGCAGGAUGUAGCCAUGGCAACUGAGCAGGAAUGACUCUGGUCCACAUUUUAAUCUGUUUUACCUCCUGUGAGUAUUAAUAUCCUGUUUAUCUGAGUCUACACACAAGUGCACACAAACUAGCAAAUACCACAUCUCAAUAUCACAUCUCAACAGACGACCAACGUACCGGCCUGUUACUGCGACAGUCGUUCUUCCUGAUCGUCAUCCUCACUGUCACUUUCUGACACGACUUCCCGUCUUCUUUGCCUGUUUGCGUGAAGACAGACUCAAUAAGAUUAAGCUAAGAUAACUGGAGGCGUGUAAAACAAGGAUGUGAGCUGUUGAAGGUCGACAGGACGAAGAAAAAGAUGCCGAAGAGGAGAAAGAAGAGACGAUGCAUAUCAUGCUGUUGAGAAAUUUCACUGGAGGGAUGAGAUGAAGUAAUAAAGCGGGGGAAAUCCAGAGAACAUAAAUGUGGUAGAAGACUAUCACAAACAAACCUGCAGUGGUGGAAGGUUUAACCGCAUGAAUGAGUGAGCUGUAGGUGUUCAGGUGAAAGGUCACCAAUGACAGCUGAGCUCUGCUUCCAAUUUUAUGGAGGGAAACUUGACACCCAAUUAACAACACCAUAAGAAUGACACAACAACCGUCUGUAAUGCACGAGAUUAAAUGGCCACCAAGUCAUUAUUUCCGAUUAAAACGUCCCAGCGACAAUAAAGUCUCCUGGAUAUAUUCAAAAUGUUCUACUUUAACCCUUGUGUGGUGUUCGGGUCUGUGGGGCCCGUUUUCACUUUUAAUUAAAAUUAAAAUGAUCAAAUUAAUCAAUUUUU
ensembl:lncRNA